rnacentral:rRNA from 1 species
AUUGAACGCUGGCGGCAUGCCUUACACAUGCAAGUCGAACGGCAGCACGGGUGCUUGCACCUGGUGGCUAGUUGCGAACGGGUGAGUAAUCCAUCGGAACAUGUCCUCUAGUGGGGGAUAGCCCUGCGAAAGCCUGAUUACUACCGCAUACGAUCUACGCAUGAAAGCGGGGGACCUUCGUGCCUCGCCCUAUAGGGUUGGCCGAUGGCUGAUUAGCUAGUUGGUGGUGUAAAGGCCUACCAAGGCGACGACCAGUAUCUGGUCUGAGAGGACGACCAGCCAGACGGGGACUGAGAAACGGCACAGACUCCUACGGGAGGCAGCAGUGGGGAAUUUUGGACAAUGGGCGAAAGCCUGAUCCAGCAAUGCCGGGUGUGGGAAGAAGGACUUAGGGUUGGAAAGCAAUUUUGUCCGGAAAGAAAUCCUUGGCCCUAAUACGGGAGGGGGAUGACGGUACCGGAAGAAUAAGCACCGGCUAACUACGUG